rnacentral:rRNA from 1 species
CAGCAGCCGCGGGAAUACCGAGGUCCCGAGCGUUGUUCGGAUUCACUGGGCGUAAAGCGUGCGUAGGUGGUGGUUUAAGUCCGUUGUGAAAGCCCUGGGCUCAACCUGGGAAUUGCAGUGGAUACUGGGUCACUAGAGUGUGUCAGAGGAUGGUGGAAUUCCCGGUGUAGCGGUGAAAUGCGUAGAGAUCGGGAGGAACAUCUGUGGCGAAGGCGACUAUCUGGGCCAACACUGACACUGAGGCACGAAAGCGUGGGGAGCAAACAGGAUUAGAUACCCCGGUAGUCCCUGUCUCUUAUAC